rnacentral:sRNA from 1 species
CCGGAGAACUGGCCAUGCGUCCUGUUGCCAGCUUGUCUGGGGGCCAGAAGAGCCGAGUGGCCUUUGCUCAGAUGACUAUGCCCUGGUGAGGCCUCAUUUUCCAGAGCUCUUCCCCUCCCAUUUCCCCUUCUUGCCCAGUAGAAAACUGUAUCAGAAGGCUUUAUUUUCUCUCACCACACCCCUUCACUGCCCACCUUCCUGGUUUUGCCUUCCAGCCCCAACUUCUACAUUCUGGAUGAACCCACAAACCACCUGGACAUGGAGACCAUUGAGGCUCUGGGCCGUGCCCUCAACAAUUUCAGGGGUGGUGUGAUUCUGGUGUCCCACGAUGAGCGCUUUAUCAGGCUGGUGUGCCGGGAGUUGUGGGUGUGCGAAGGAGGCGGCGUCACCCGUGUGGAAGGAGGAUUUGACCAGUACCGCGCCCUCCUCCAGGAACAGUUCCGCCGCGAAGGCUUCCUCUAGGGCCAUCAGGCUGAGGACUCGCCCAGGACAUGGACUGGCCUCUCAGACCCCUGGGCCACCACAUAGGCCAC